UACAGAGGUCCCGAGCGUUGUUCGGAUUCAUUGGGCGUAAAGGGUGCGUAGGCGGCGGGGCAAGUCUGAUGUGAAAUCCCGGGGCUCAACCCCGGAACUGCAUUGGAUACUGCCUUGCUUGAGUACUGGAGAGGGAACUGGAAUUUACGGUGUAGCAGUGAAAUGCGUAGAGAUCGUAAGGAAGGCCAGUGGCGAAGGCGGGUCUCUGGGCAUCUCCUGACGCUGAGGCGCGAAAGCGUGGGGAGCAAACGGG
rnacentral:rRNA from 1 species